rnacentral:ncRNA from 1 species
UUUCCCUCAGAAUAGUUGGAGCUCGAGGGCGAGUUCUAUGGGGUAAAGCCAAUGAUUAGAGGCAUCGGUGGUGCAACGCCCUCAACCUAUUCUCAAACUUUAAAUAGGUAGGAUGACGUGGCUGCUUUGUUGAACUGCACCACGGAAUUAAGAGCUCCAAGUGGGCCAUUUUUGGUAAGCAGAACUGGCGAUGCAAGAUGCAUCG